ACGAGUGGCGGACGGGUGAGUAACACGUGGGUAACCUGCCCUUAAGUGGGGGAUAACAUUUGGAAACAGAUGCUAAUACCGCAUAGAUCCAAGAACCGCAUGGUUCUUGGCUGAAAGAUGGCGUAAGCUAUCGCUUUUGGAUGGACCCGCGGCGUAUUAGCUAGUUGGUGAGGUAAUGGCUCACCAAGGCGAUGAUACGUAGCCGAACUGAGAGGUUGAUCGGCCACAUUGGGACUGAGACACGGCCCAAACUCCUACGGGAGGCAGCAGUAGGGAAUCUUCCACAAUGGACGCAAGUCUGAUGGAGCAACGCCGCGUGAGUGAAGAAGGCUUUCGGGUCGUAAAACUCUGUUGUUGGAGAAGAAUGGUCGGCAGAGUAACUGUUGUCGGCGUGACGGUAUCCAACCAGAAAGCCACGGCUAACUACGUGCCAGCAGCCGCGGUAAUACGUAGGUGGCAAGCGUUAUCCGGAUUUAUUGGGCGUAAAGCGAGCGCAGGCGGUUUUUUAAGUCUGAUGUGAAAGCCCUCGGCUUAACCGAGGAAGCGCAUCGGAAACUGGGAAACUUGAGUGCAGAAGAGGACAGUGGAACUCCAUGUGUAGCGGUGAAAUGCGUAGAUAUAUGGAAGAACACCAGUGGCGAAGGCGGCUGUCUGGUCUGUAACUGACGCUGAGGCUCGAAAGCAUGGGUAGCGAACAGGAUUAGAUACCCUGGUAGUCCAUGCCGUAAACGAUGAAUGCUAGGUGUUGGAGGGUUUCCGCCCUUCAGUGCCGCAGCUAACGCAUUAAGCAUUCCGCCUGGGGAGUACGACCGCAAGGUUGAAACUCAAAGGAAUUGACGGGGGCCCGCACAAGCGGUGGAGCAUGUGGUUUAAUUCGAAGCAACGCGAAGAACCUUACCAGGUCUUGACAUCUUUUGAUCACCUGAGAGAUCAGGUUUCCCCUUCGGGGGCAAAAUGACAGGUGGUGCAUGGUUGUCGUCAGCUCGUGUCGUGAGAUGUUGGGUUAAGUCCCGCAACGAGCGCAACCCUUAUGACUAGUUGCCAGCAUUUAGUUGGGCACUCUAGUAAGACUGCCGGUGACAAACCGGAGGAAGGUGGGGAUGACGUCAAAUCAUCAUGCCCCUUAUGACCUGGGCUACACACGUGCUACAAUGGAUGGUACAACGAGUUGCGAGACCGCGAGGUCAAGCUAAUCUCUUAAAGCCAUUCUCAGUUCGGACUGUAGGCUGCAACUCGCCUACACGAAGUCGGAAUCGCUAGUAAUCGCGGAUCAGCACGCCGCGGUGAAUACGUUCCCGGGCCUUGUACACACCGCCCGUCACACCAUGAGAGUUUGUAACACCCGAAGCCGGUGGGGUAACCCUUUUAGGGAGCGAGCCGUCUAAGGUGGGACAAAUGAUUAGGGUGAAGUCGUAACAA
rnacentral:rRNA from 1 species